rnacentral:lncRNA from 12 species
AUGGACGAGUCUUCCCAGGUCUCCCAGGUCCGUAAGCCGCGAUCUCCUUGGACACCUCGUGUCCCUGCGGACAUGCCCAGCAGAGAACAGUCAAGAGUGAGGAGGAGCAGCUGGAGCCUGUCUGACCACAACACGAUGGGCUCUGACGCAGCCCACACUCUUCUCUCCCGGGGAGGCCUGAAUCCCUAUGAGCCUGCAGAGGGCAUUGCCUCCGUGGCCCCAGGACGUGGCAAUCCAUCGUGGUUCCACCCAUCCCCACACGGAGGGCGACAGCUGGUGCUCAAUGUCCUUCACAGGCCUCCUAUCUAAGGGGUCUGCUUUCCAGUUCCUGCCUGGCUGGCAAGUGCGGCUUCACAGGAGCUACCUGGGAGCCGCCCAGGUGUCAUUGGAAACUGCUUCCCCAGAUCCAGAGGCUGCCUCCAGACCAGACUGAGAGGCUGACCUAUCCAGAUUGGCAGGCCAAGGGUUCUAAACCUAAGGGGACCGCAAAGUACACACUUUAAAAAAAAACUACGUCCUUAUGUGUAUAUACAUAUAUUUUGGAGAUUUAUAAAUCUGCCCUUUGACAACGUUGAGGGGGAUUCGGACAUUUGUUUGUUUUGGGGUGUGUGGGUCUCUCUUGCUGUGUAAGUAUGUGACCUGGGCUGUGUCAUCCUAACACCUACCUGGCUUGAAACCACAAUCUUUAUCACUGUAGGUGCUGGCGUUGGGUAGAUAGUUGGGUUCUCCUGGUCAACCCUGGUCUUUUUAUGCAGUGACUUUCAGUUGGAAGUUCAGCUGAAUUUCAAGGUCCAAUUGGGCCACAUUCACAUGUGUGGCAGUGGGUCCCAGCUGAGCACCGGCUGAUUCUCCUUCCUCGAUGCCUCUCAAGCCGGGAGCCACAUGUAGGGGCGGCCUGGUUGGGAAGCUCCUGAGGAGGAAGCUGCCCAUUGGAGGGAGCUCUGGAGCUGCCUGUGUGUGGUAGUUGGCGUGGGGAGGGCCCUGGGGUCCCCAGCACCAGGGGGCCUCGAGUGUAGGCCACGCAGAUACUAAUGGGUGUGCCUGGCCAUCUCUGGGGCUUUGGAGUGAGGAUAGGGGCACCGGGGAGCAGGGAGAUGCUGCCCCGGGGCUGCUUCUGCUGUGGGCUGGAGGGGGGCCUGAGGGGCAAGAAGGCAACCAAAGACAGGGCUGAGGGAGCAGCGGGAGUGCAAGACUAGUCUGCAAAUGGUGGUUCAGGUGGCCGUUGCUCCAGGAACCCAAGGGCCACCUGGGGAGGCAGUGCCCUUGUCAGUGGGGAGGCAGGCUGGGUGAGGAUCCCCGCUUGCCCCGU